rnacentral:tRNA from 1 species
GUAGGAAUAGCUCAGUGGUAGAGUGUGUGCUUAGCAUGCAUGAGGUCCUGGGUUCAAUCCCCAGUACCUCCA